rnacentral:rRNA from 1 species
UGGGGAAUAUUGCACAAUGGGCGCAAGCCUGAUGCAGCCAUGCCGCGUGUGUGAAGAAGGCCUUCGGGUUGUAAAGCACUUUCAGCGGGGAGGAAGGCGGCGAGGUUAAUAACCUCACCGAUUGACGUUACCCGCAGAAGAAGCACCGGCUAACUCCGUGCCAGCAGCCGCGGUAAUACGGAGGGUGCAAGCGUUAAUCGGAAUUACUGGGCGUAAAGCGCACGCAGGCGGUCUGUCAAGUCGGAUGUGAAAUCCCCGGGCUCAACCUGGGAACUGCAUUCGAAGCUGGCAGGCUAGAGUCUUGUAGAGGGGGGUAGAAUUCCGGGUGUAGCGGUGAAAUGCGUAGAGAUCUGGAGGAAUACCGGUGGCGAAGGCGGCCCCCUGGACAAAGUCUGACGCUCAGGUGCGAAAGCGUGGGGAGCAAACAGG